UACGAAGGGGGCUAGCGUUGUUCGGAAUUACUGGGCGUAAAGCGCGCGUAGGCGGUUUUGCAAGCCAGAGGUGAAAUGCCUGAGCUCAACUUAGGAAUUGCCUUUGGGACUGCGAGGCUUUGAGGACUGGAGAGGUGAGUGGAAUUCCCAGUGUAGAGGUGAAAUUCGUAGAUAUUGGGAAGAACACCGGUGGCGAAGGCGGCUCACUGGCCAGUUUCUGACGCUGCAGCGCGAAAGCGUGGGGAUCAAACAG
rnacentral:rRNA from 1 species